AUGCUGACUUUGGCAGUACAUAUAUUAAAAUUGCAAUAAUAUCGAGAAUAUUAGCAUGGCCUCUGCAGAAGGUUGACAUGCAAAUUUGUGAAUUGUUCCAUAUUUUU
ensembl:snRNA U6 U6 spliceosomal RNA